GAUGAACGCUGGCGGCGUGCCUAAUACAUGCAAGUCGAGCGAACAGACGAGGAGCUUGCUCCUCUGACGUUAGCGGCGGACGGGUGAGUAACACGUGGAUAACCUACCUAUAAGACUGGGAUAACUUCGGGAAACCGGAGCUAAUACCGGAUAAUAUAUUGAACCGCAUGGUUCAAUAGUGAAAGACGGUUUUGCUGUCACUUAUAGAUGGAUCCGCGCCGCAUUAGCUAGGUGGUAAGGUCACGGUUUACCAAGGCAACGAUGCGUAGCCGACCCGAGAGGGACGAUCGACAGCCCGGAAGAGAGGGUCAGCUCCCACAUCGAGGGGGAGACACAGUAGGGAAUCCUACGGGAGGGGGCAAAGGGUAACAGUGCAAAGCCGGGGAAACGAUGAAGGAUCUACGACGCGUAAACUAAGAUGUAUGGGGAUAAGAAAACUUCUAGCAACUAUGCACGUCUUGACGGUACCUAACCAGAAAGCCACGGCUAACUACGUG
rnacentral:rRNA from 1 species